CAAAGUGUGUGUGCAGGAGAGGAGUCGAGCAGAGAGAGCUGCUUUUUCCAUGAAACGGGAGUGAAGUAGUAAACUUACAGGAACAUAUACAACUACCAACGUUGGGAUCAAUUUCUGCAUCGAUCUGCACACCCUUGUCUCCUGGAUCGUAGCUCAGAUCAGCGUGAACCACGUGGGUCUCUGCUCCCUGAUCUGUUUCUUAAGACUUCCAGCUUCAUCACGGAGUUUCUCUCGGUUUGUGGGCUCAUCUAAAGCUGAGUAACAGGAAGAGAAGGGUCUGGUGGUGCAGCAGAGGAACAAUUUCAGCCAUUUGGACUCAGCUCAGCCACUACAGAGGAAACAAUGUCUUCAACACAGAAGGACCAACAUGAAGCGAGAAGUCAGUACUCUCAGGAGGCUGACAAACCUCACAGAAGAAAGGGAGAGAAGCCCUACAGCUGUGAUGAGUGUGGGAAGGAUUUUACCCAGGCUGG